CGACAAGCAAUAUGAAGGUCAGGCUGAAGACCUUACCCGAUUAGCUGAGAGGUGGUGCAUGGCCGUCGUCAGUUCGUACUGUGAAGCAUCCUGUUAAGUCAGGCAACGAGCGAGACCCACGUCCACAGUUGCCAGCAUACCCUCCGGGGUGAUGGGUACACUGUGGAGACCGCCGCUGCUAAAGCGGAGGAAGGAGUGGGCAACGGUAGGUCAGUAUGCCCCGAAUCUCCCGGGCUACACGCGGGCUACAAUGGUUGGUACAAUGGGCAUCUACCCCGAAAGGGGAAGGAAAUCUCUUAAAGCCAAUCGUAGUUCGGAUUGAGGGCUGCAACUCGCCCUCAUGAAGCUGGAAUCCGUAGUAAUCGCGUUUCAACAGAACGCGGUGAAUACGUCCCUGCUCCUU
rnacentral:rRNA from 1 species